rnacentral:rRNA from 1 species
UACGUAGGGUGCAGGCGUUGUCCGGAAUUAUUGGGCGUAAAGGGCUCGUAGGCGGUUUGUCGCGUCGGGAGUGAAAUCCACUGGCUUAACUGGUGGCUUGCUUUCGAUACGGGCAGACUGGAGGUAUGCAGGGGAGAACGGAAUUCCUGGUGUAGCGGUGAAAUGCGCAGAUAUCAGGAGGAACACCGGUGGCGAAGGCGGGUCUCUGGGCCAUUACUGACGCUGAGGAGCGAAAGCGUGGGGAGCGAACAGG